rnacentral:ncRNA from 2 species
ACCCCAUCCCGAGCGGCCGAGAGACCUGGCUCCACGACGCCGCAGCAACCACCCCGUGCGCACACGGGGCCGGUGCUCACGCCAGGAACGAUGGAGC